rnacentral:rRNA from 1 species
GUGCCAGCAGCCGCGGUAAUACGUAGGGGGCGAGCGUUAUCCGGAUUCAUUGGGCGUAAAGCGCGCGUAGGCGGCCAGUUAGGUCGGGAGUCAAAUCCGGGGGCUCAACCCCCGCCCGCUCCCGAUACCGGCUGGCUUGAGUCUGGUAGGGGAAGGUGGAAUUCCAAGUGUAGCGGUGGAAUGCGCAGAUAUUUGGAAGAACACCGGUGGCGAAGGCGGCCUUCUGGGCCACGACUGACGCUGAGGCGCGAAAGCUAGGGGAGCGAACAGGAUUAGAAACCCCUGUAGUCC